rnacentral:tRNA from 1 species
AUAAAGAUAAGCUAUAUUUAAGCUUUUUGGUUCAUACCCUUAAUAUAGAUUUUUAAUCUUCUUUAUA